GACGAACGCUGGCGGUGUGCUUAACACAUGCAAGUCGGACGGUAAGGCCCUUUCGGGGGUACACGAGUGGCGAACGGGUGAGUAACACGUGAGUAACAUGCCCUCAUCUCUGGGAUAACAGUCGGAAACGGUUGCUAAUACUGGAUAUGAGCUUGCAAGGCAUCUUGUGGGUUGGAAAGAUUUUUUUGGUUGGGGAUGGACUCGCGGCCUAUCAGCUUGUUGGUGAGGUAGUGGCUCACCAAGGCUUCGACGGGUAGCCGGCCUGAGAGGGCGACCGGCCACAUUGGGACUGAGAUACGGCCCAAACUCCUACGGGAGGCAGCAGUGGGGAAUAUUGCACAAUGGACGGAAGUCUGAUGCAGCAACGCCGCGUGCGGGAUGACGGCCUUCGGGUUGUAAACCGCUUUCAAUUGUGACGAAGCUUUUUGUGACGGUAGCAGUAGAAGAAGCACCGGCUAACUACGUG
rnacentral:rRNA from 1 species